UUUGUUAUGAAGUCUAAGUUACACAUCAAAGUGCCCAACAUCCUUCUCCAUUUCUCCUCUGCACAAAAUUUCCUCAAAACUCAAAAGAAACCCUAGCCUAGAUCUAGCCUCCACCACCACCGCAGCCGUUAUUCUCACUGCCACCGUUUGUCGCACUUAGAAUCUUUUGUCGUCAUCUGGUCGUCGUGCUCCAACCCUUCUCCUCAUUUACCAAUUGCAGCUCCUUCCUCGAACUCGACGUGCUCCAGCCCCUCAUCCUACUCAGUUGCACUUCGCCCGCUGUCCGUCGUCGUGCUCGUUGCCAUCUUCUGUCGCGGUCAACUGCUUUCCCUCAUAUUUUGCUCAGAUCUCCUAAUUGCCUGGUUCUUCCUCUUUUUUUUUUUGGUAUAUCGAGAAUCCUCCUCCUCACUCUUUCUCAGUUGGAUUAUGUAAUCUGUAAGUUGUGCACUAUGCAUGCAGUCUCAGAAGUUCAAAAAGGCUUGAAAUCAUUUCACUAUGCAUCAACAUACCUUGUCAUUGACUUUUUGAAAACAUCAUAUGAACGGCCUUUAGAUAUUGUCCUUCUCGAGGAUGACAUGAAUUUCCACUCGCGCGCAGUUUCAUUGUUGGAGGUUGGAAAAGGAGGUGGAUAUCUGCUUGUAGCAACAGAUAUAGCUGCUAGAGGAGUUGACCUUCCUGAAAGUUAUAAAGUAUUAAUAUAUUUUAUGAAUUGUAAUUUUAAUUAUGGAUGACAUUUUGAGGUUUAAGUUAAACUAUAA